rnacentral:snoRNA from 1 species
CCCAUCCAAGACGAUGAAUUGAUCUCAUAUCUGCUUCACGGGCUAGACAUGGACUACUAGCCGCUCGUCUCUGCCCUGGAUGCCCGCAUCACGCCGGUGUCCCUUGAUGAGCUCUAUGCUAUGUUGAGCAACUUCGGCC